GGAGGAAAAUAUAAAGUUAAUUACGAAUAUGCCCCUUUCACUUCCGAGUUUAAAGACCUAGUCCUUGACGGUUGCGCCAUCGAUCCCAUCCAGAAAUUCCCCAACUCCACUGCCUGCUCCGAGACAGAUACCUGGCUCGAGAGCCGUGACUACGCCGUCAUAACACCGAAAAGCCGAUCCGCCAUGCGAAGAUUCAGGCAGCGUUACAUGUACUAUUCAUAUUGUUAUGACAAUGUGCGUUACCCUAUAACACCUCCCGAGUGCGCAGUUGAUUCAAACGAAAAACAAAGGUUCCGUAACACCGGGAGGUUGAGAUUCGGUGGAAGCCAUAG
rnacentral:lncRNA from 1 species